rnacentral:lncRNA from 1 species
GUUCCUUCAACUCCUCCCAGAACGCCACAGAGAAUGAUCUGCCCUAUACCCCCUUCUCCACCAUCUAAGCUUCGGAGACCAUGUAGAAAGAAGUCCUGUCUUCCCCAGGACUUCCCAGAGUGCCAGCCUGGACCCUGUGCUGUUCCAGUGCUUGGCACAACCACCAGCCCAGGGACUGUCAGAGGCUCUAGAGAGGAGCAGUCUCAACCUUCUGAAGGGCACAGUUACCUGGGCACUAGCUUCGGGAGUGACUGGCAUGUGUCCUCUCCUAUGCUCAUUGCAAGUGACACGGAGUGCCUUCCUCUGAUUGAUGAAGCCCAACUCCAUAGGCUUGAAAACCAAGAGGUAAAAAGUGGCGUCUUGCCAGGGGAAGAAGGUGAGGAACCAGAGACCACCAC